GGGGUUGUAGCUCAGUGGUAAAGCACUUGCCUUGCAUGCAUGAGGCACUUGGUUAGAUCUUCAGCACCA
rnacentral:tRNA from 1 species